CUAAAAUGAGAGUUUGAUCCUGGCUCAGGACGAACGCUGGCGGCGUGCCUAAUACAUGCAAGUCGAACGCUUUUUUCAAUCAUCGUAGCUUGCUACACCGAUUGAAAAUUGAGUGGCGAACGGGUGAGUAACACGUGGGUAACUUGCCCAAAAGAGGGGGAUAA
rnacentral:rRNA from 1 species